rnacentral:rRNA from 1 species
AAUAGACUACCCGGGUAGUCCACGCCGUAAACGGUGGGCACUAGGUGUGGGCAACAUUCCACGUUGUCCGUGCCGCAGCUAACGCAUUAAGUGCCCCGCCUGGGGAGUACGGCCGCAAGGCUAAAACUCAAAGGAAUUGACGGGGGGCCCGCACAAGCGGCGGAGCAUGUGGCUUAAUUCGACGCAACGCGAAGAACCUUACCAAGGCUUGACAUACACCGGAAACGGCCAGAGAUGGUCGCCCCCUUGUGGUCGGUGUACAGGUGGUGCAUGGCUGUCGUCAGCUCGUGUCGUGAGAUGUUGGGUUAAGUCCCGCAACGAGCGCAACCCUUGUCCCGUGUUGCCAGCAGGCCCUUGUGGUGCUGGGGACUCACGGGAGACCGCCGGGGUCAACGUCGGAGGAAGGUGGGGACGAUGUCAAGUCAUCAUGCCCCUUAUGUCUUGGGCUGCACACGUGCUACAAUGGCCGGUACAAUGAGCUGCGAUACCGUGAGGUGGAGCGAAUCUCAAAAAGCCGGUCUCAGUUCGGAUUGGGGU